UACAUGGGGUGCAAACGUUUGCUCGGAAUUAUUGGGCGUAAAGCGCGCGUAGGCGGUUACUUAAGUCGGAUGUGAAAGCCCCUCGGCUUAACUGAGGAAGUGCACCCGAAACUGAGUAGCUAGAGUACGAAAGAGGGUCGCGGAAUUCCCGGUGUAGAGGUGAAAUUCGUAGAUAUCGGGAGGAACACCGGUGGCGAAGGCGGCGACCUGGGUCGAGACUGACGCUGAGGCGCGAAAGCGUGGGGAGCAAACAGG
rnacentral:rRNA from 1 species